GUGAGGAAUAUUGGACAAUGGGCGCAAGCCUGAUCCAGCCAUGCCGCGUGCAGGAAGACGCAUCUAUGGUGUGUAAACUGCUUUUGUACGGGAAGAAACACUCCCUCGUGAGGGAGCUUGACGGUACCGUAAGAAUAAGGAUCGGCUAACUCCGUGCCAGCAGCCGCGGUAAUACGGAGGAUCCAAGCGUUAUCCGGAAUCAUUGGGUUUAAAGGGUCCGUAGGCGGUUUAAUAAGUCAGUGGUGAAAGCCCAUCGCUCAACGAUGGAACGGCCAUUGAUACUGUUAGACUUGAAUUACAAGGAAGUAACUAGAAUAUGAAGUGUAGCGGUGAAAUGCUUAGAUAUUACAUGGAAUACCAAUUGCGAAGGCAGGUUACUACUUGUGGAUUGACGCUGAUGGACGAAAGCGUGGGGAGCGAACAGGAUUAGAAACCCUAGUAGUCC
rnacentral:rRNA from 1 species